rnacentral:rRNA from 1 species
AAUUUUGGACAAUGGGCGCAAGCCUGAUCCAGCCAUGCCGCGUGAUUGAAGAAGGCCUUCGGUUUGUAAAGCUCUUUCGGACGGAAAGAAAUCGCGCAGGCUAAUCCCCUGCCCGGUUCACGGUACCGCCAUAAAAAGAACCGGCUAACUACGUCCCAGCAGCCGCGGUAAUACGUCGGGUGCCAUCGUUCACCGGAAUUACUGGGCCUAAAGCGUGCGCAGGCGGUUGAUUAAGACAGGCGUGAAAUCCCCGGGCUUAACCUGGGAACUGCGCUUUUGACUGGUCAGCUAGAGUACGGCAGAGGGGGGUGGAAUUCCACGUGUAGCAGUGAAAUGCGUAGAGAUGUGGAGGAACACCGAUGGCGAAGGCAGCCCCCUGGGCCGAUACUGACGCUCAUGCACGAAGGCGUGGGUAGCAAACAGG